CCUGAGCGGACCCGUAGCCGACAUCAGUUGAGAAUUUCUUUGCUGGGACACUGUUGCGCUGAACCCUUUUUUGAAACAAAAAUGAAUAGAAAGACUGAGCCUGUCUCCUUAUCAACCUUAAGGCGAAGGACACGUGUAGACGUUCAAAAAAGACUUCAUCAAAUUAGGACAGACAUGACUGAUAUGGACAUGACAGGAAUAGGGGCAGAAGACAUAGUUCUUUCUGAGAACACUGCCCCACCCUCUUCAGCUUAUCCAAAAUGAUAAUGGAUGCCUUUUCAUCUAAUUGAAUUUCAAGUGAGCAAGGACAUCGCUGUUGUGCCAGUUGACUGGUAUGAUGACGGGAUGGUGUACUGGCCCAGCUUUAAGAGCACUGAACGUGUGAAAAGGGCAGCUGCUAACGAGGAGAAGCAUGAGCCAAACUGGCCAAGAUAUGAUGUAAAGGUCGUAAGAACUUGUGACAAGUACAAAUACGCCAUUAGGCUUAUGACUCAAUAUCAGAACGGCUGCAACUCCUCUGAGCUACAGUCUGAGGCAUAGCAGGAGGACAAGCUGCCAGAUAAAAGAUUCAGGAAGCCACUCCAUCGUUUUGGGGACUCUGAGGAGAGUGAAGAAGAGCCAGAAAAUGGUGACUUUGCAUCUCUGAGGAUGCCACGGCCUUCCAACUUGCCUGGUGUAUCAGUUGAAGCCUCAUCCCCAAGCCAAUUGCACUGGAAGACUCCAUCAUCUUGCAGAGUGCCAGGCAGCAGAGUAACUACUCCUCAACCUGGAGAAAACUGUCUAGCGCCAGACUAUGGGGCAGGACAGCAGCACCCUUCACCACCUCAACUCCCAACACCCGCAUUUAACAUGCGGAGACUGAUUUCGGAAAU